GCACCAGUAGGUAGUUUAGUGGUAAAACACAUUGUUGCCAUCGAUAGACCCGCGUUCGAUUCGCGGCUGAUGCA